rnacentral:rRNA from 1 species
UACGUAGGGGGCGAGCGUUGUCCGAAGUUACUGGGCGUAAAGCGCGCGUAGGCGGACUCUUAAGUGAGGGGUGAAAGGUUCAGGGCUCAACCCGAACACUGCCUUUCAUACUGGGAGUCUUGAGUGCGGGAGAGGCGAGUGGAAUGGUCGGUGUAGCGGUGAAAUGCGUAGAUAUCGAUCGGAACACCCAUGGCGAAGGCAGCUCGCUGGCCUGUAACUGACGCUGAGGUGCGAAAGCGUGGGGAGCGAACAGG